GACUGAGACACUGCCCGGACACCUACGGGUGGCUGCAGUAACGAAUAUUGUGCAAUGGGCGCAAGCCUGACCCAGCAAUGCCGCGUGCAGGAGGAAGCCCUUCGGUGUGUAAACUGCUGUCAGGGUUUCGCAAGCAAGGCCGGUUAAUAGCCGGCGGCGCUUAGCAGACCCAGAGGAAGUCUCGGCUAACUCUGUGCCAGCGGCCGCGGUAAGACAGAGGAGGCGAGCGUUGUGCGGAAUCAUUGGGCUUAAAGCGCGUGUAGGCGGCUUGGAAAGUGCUCCGUGAAAGCCCACGGCUCAACCGUGGAACUGCGGGGCAUACUGCCCGGGUUGAGGUCGCGAGGGGUGCCUGCAACUCUAGGUGGAUCGGUGAAAUGCGUAGAUAUCUAGACGUACCGCCAGAGGCGUAACCGAGGCACUGGAGCGAUUCUGACGCUGAGACGCGUAAGCGUGGGGAGCAAACAGGAUUAGGAUACCCUGGUAAGUCCACGCUGUGAACGAUGCACACUGGAUCUGGCGACUCUGACGGUUGCCGGGUCGUAGCGAAAGCGUUAAGUGUGCCGCCUGGGGACUACGGCCGCAAGGCUCAAACUCAAAGGAAUUGACGGGGGCUCACACAAGCGGUGGAGCAUGUGGCUUAAUUCGAAGCAACGCGAAGAACCUUACCCAGGUUUGACAUGCGUGGAUGCAAUCCGGGGAUAACUCGGUGCGCUGCCCUUCGGGGUGAAACUUGCACAGGUGUUGCAUGGCUGUCGUCAGCUCGUGCUGUGAAGUGUCGGGUUAAGUCCCUUAACGAGCGAAACCCCUAUCGUUAGUUGCCAGCGCGUAAUGGCGGGGACUCUAGCGAGACUGCCGGCGUUAAGCCGGAGGAAGGUGGGGACGACGUCAAGUCAUCAUGGCCCUUAUGCCUGGGGAUGCACACGUGCUACAAUGGCGUAUACAGAGCGACGCAAGACCGCGAGGUGGAGCAAAUCGCACAAAGUACGCCUCAGUUCGGAUUGGAGUCUGCGACUCGACUCCAUGAAG
rnacentral:rRNA from 1 species